GGUCAGUGAUGAGAUGUAAAAGGUCCGAAGCCUUCGUCUCCUUCAAGUCUUUCGGUCCUUCCCAGCAGCCUCGGUUCGUUUUACACCAGCUUGCUCUAGUCGUGCAUCGCUGGCUCAGAGUGGCGGCUGAUAUUAAGGAUGUUUCUGCUGUAUAUUAGUAGUCUUUCGGAGAUGAAUAAGAUUAAUAGCAGCGGCGUCAAACAGUAACUCAACGCACGGGAGGGCCGGACCGAAGGAGAACGUCGGACAGGCUCAUGAUCUCAAGUUUUCAAGCUGAGGCC